rnacentral:lncRNA from 1 species
CGGGAGACUCGGUUGCUAUUGGCUCGGUAAACAAAAGAAGAAGGGUUGGCACUUCCUUAUCAAGUUGACACUCAUUAGCUAUUGAAGGCUGUAGAUCAGGCAUGGAAGCUCCGAUUGGCUCAAAUGAGGUGUCAAUCGAACGCUUAGAAUCUGGUCUCCAUUUUGGAAUCAUGGUAUCAGCACUGCAUGCACUAGAAAUUACAUUUUUACAGAGUAAAAAACAAAACAAUCACACACAUCGAUCAGCUGAUUUCAAAGAUUGCAACAGCUGUUCAUGGGCAUUUAUCAACAUGACAAUGUUGACAAUCAAUAUAUUUUUUACUGGAAUCGAUGUAUUGGACCUUUGGCAAUGACACAGGAGUGUUAUUUUGGGAUUAUUUUUGAUUACAGGAUUAUGAUGAGGCUUCAUAGUGUGAUGUGCCCAUCCACCUGCAACACAAGCAGACAGGAAGGAGAGUCUCUGCACGCCAGGCAGAGGGCGCAAGGAGACCUGCAGCCUGCAGACAGUGUCCCUGCUGCAGAGACAACCAGGUGCCAGUUUUAA